rnacentral:lncRNA from 1 species
AAAAUAGGCUGCAAUCAAGUUCACUUCCAAAGGCGGAAUUCAUGGGUACAUAUGGUGUCCACGUGUGUACACCUGCAGAGUUGUAACAUGCGGGCAUUUCUCCCCUCAGCCCGCCAUUCUGGCUUCUUAACUUGCACCCUAACAGCUCGACAGAACCUUGGCGUCCACAAAAAGGACUUGAGGUGGGACAUGGAAGAACAGGGACCCCUCCUGGUUUGUCCACCCAGCCCACACCUCCAUUCCUCACCCAACCUACCACUUCAGAGCCGGGAAAAGACCUCAGAGAACAUCCGCUCCGACUCUACCGAGGCUCAGACAGGACAACAAGAGUGUGCUGGACACUGGGAAAUGUGGUCCAGGAGCAGUCACAGUCCCUAUAGACCUCCCACAAAUUACCGUAAUGCAAAGCAGUGAACACUUGGGAGAGCUCCUUCACUCACCGACUCUCAUCAGGAAAAUAGUGAUAGCAUGAACCCCUCCAGAUGGUUUUAGGAUUAAAAGAGAUACUUGUGCAAAGCCUCAGCAUACGAGUGCUCAGCCCCUGCCGACAUGAGCAAUGGGCAGCGCGUCCAGCUGGGUUCCUGCCCCAUGAGAAGCACACAGCCUGGUUUGGUAGGUGGGGCUCCAUCAGGGCUGUUUGGAUACCUGGGUGGAGCCCACAGACCAGCCCCCACCUUGUGUGGUUAGGGCUUUGCUAGGAAGGCCCAUCUGUGCGCCAUGACCUUGGAACUCGAUGUGAGAUCCCUGGACCGGCAGCAGCACCUGGAAGCUUGUUGGAAAUGCUGAUCUCAGGUGGGACUCCAGAAUUCCCGCAUCUGCACCUGCACUCCCAAAAUACCUCCCCACCAGGUGAUCCGAGGCCAUGGGGCGGUCUGAAGGGCACUGUGCUGGGGCGUCCCACCACUAGAAAUCCAGUCCGGUAAUCUGAAGAUGUAAGUGCCCCCAGGAGGAGUGACGGAGUGACACAAAUGACACAAGGGGAGGGGACUUGUCAGGUGUCCACUCCUGACUGCAAGUUCCCAGGGCAGAAGGCAAUGCCCCCACAGGGACUUUUCCAGACACUCCGAGUGCACCUGAAUUGCAUUUUGAGUGAUGCUGCCUGCUAAGCAGGAAGAGCCCUCCGGAGCCUCGAAAAGCAGAGUGGAAGUGGUGGUGCCCAGGACGCAUGGGCUCUGAUGGGAAGAGGGAGGUGGGCCUGAGCAUGGGCCUUCUUCUCCCCAGGUCAGAGGGGCCUGGAUGCCCCUGGAGGGAACACUGAGGUCACCUCUGGCCAAAUCUUCCUGUUCUGCCAGUACCCAGCCCUGUUCAGUGACGUCAAGCUUUUGGGUCCCUGUCCUGGGGCCCUCCACGCUGGCCGGGCUGUGUAGAGACGCCCUUCUCUCCACUUUAUUGGGUCCAGAUUGUUGUGUGGCUUCUCCCCUCCUCUGCAGCCUGGGGUCUGAAAACAGCGAUGCCAACAGACAGACAGAUUUCCAAAAGAAAGGUCCGGCUCAGCCAAGGACAAAGGGGCCUCGCAGAGGCUCCUGGGGGUCAGAAAGCUGAGAGUCUACCAGGCAGGUGCCUUCUCCACCCACAGGCACAAGCUACAACAGCUUUCCAAGAAGUGCAUCCACAUCGUCCCCAGGUCCAGAUGCCCACAUUGCCCUGCAGGGACCAAGACCACACUCGGGCUGCUUGGACAGGAUGUAGCUGGUCACUGUUCUGGAGCUGGCCCCUCUGUAGCCUGUGACAAUCAGCUUGAGUCUCUCUGCCAAGUCUCCGCCUUCUGUUCUUCUUGCCGACCUUGAAGCAGAGUUGACGUUUCAGGUUUUUCCAGCAGACAAAGCUCACUCAAUCUGAUACUGUGGAGGUUGUUAAUUUAACAACCAACCCAUCCUCAUGUUGAGAAACCAGCUCCAAAUGCUCACCUGGCUGUCAGGGAUGGGGAGCCUCAUGGGUGAAAGAGGGUUGUGAUGGCAUAAUUUAAACCAAAAGAGGCAUUCGCGGUUGCCCGUGUUGCCUCAGGCCUGCUGGCCUCCUGCUGUGAACAUUUUGGGCAAUACUGUCUCUGCCAGUGACCCCCAAUUGUCCACUUGUCUCCAGCAAGAUCGAACCAUGUAAGUGCCAUUUCUGACAAGUUGGGUGAACGUUGGUUUCAAAUCAUCAGCUCUGCAUUCAAGUGCCCUGCUACAAUUCUGGCUCACUCUGUGGGAAUAACUGCCUGCCUGGGCACGUUGCUGUUGCUGCCUCCCAAACGGCAGUUUCUGGGGUCCCAGGUCAUCCAGGCUGGAUGUGGCUUGGGAGAGACCUGUGGCACCAGGUUGGAGGGAGGUCUCACCUCUCCUUUCUGAGCUGUGGACUGCAGCUUCAGGACCCUAUGGAUGAGGCCGAAUGUCAUGAAGAUAAUGGAAUUUGGAGUCUCAACAAAGCCAAGCCACAUGCCAGAGAUUCACCACCUGGGGCCCAGGAUCAGAAGUGUGCCCUUAGGAGGCCAAACAUCCACCUGUCUACCAACUAGACAUUUGGUCUCAGACAGCAAGAAAGGCUGCGUUUAUGUCAUUAGGGGGAACACCACGGUCUUCGGCAUGAGAGAGGUGUAAUUCUCAAGUUCAUCAGAGCUCGGCUUCCCCCAUGAGAGGAAACAAUUUGCCAGGUUGAAGAACACACGCUUUGAGGGUUCUCAGAGGCUGACACCUGUUGUGAAUCUUGGAAACUCAAGCCCCAGUGCAAACGGCCUUGAAGGAGGUCGAGCAUCAUGGUUCCAACAAGUGACUCGCUUUGAUAACCCGAUGUGUAAGCAGAAUCGCAAUGCAUCCGUCCUUCCCUAAUCAUCACGUGGCUGUCAUCUGGUCAAUGAACUGAGGCCCGAAGGCUUGAGUCAAACUGGUUUUCAAGGCUGUGCUCAUGGGAUUUAUAUGUUUCUUGAGCCCUGUUGGAGGCUCUUGGCAGGUCUGAACAUUAAACAUUUCUUUUCUUCCUUUUG